rnacentral:rRNA from 1 species
AGAGUUUGAUCCUGGCUCAGAUUGAACGCUGGCGGCAGGCCUAACACAUGCAAGUCGAGCGGUAACAGAGAGAAAGCUUGCUUUCUUUGCUGACGAGCGGCGGACGGGUGAGUAAUGCCUGGGAAUAUGCCUUGAUGUGGGGGAUAACCAUUGGAAACGAUGGCUAAUACCGCAUAAUGCCUACGGGCCAAAGAGGGGGAUCUUCGGACCUCUCGCGUCAAGAUUAGCCCAGGUGGGAUUAGCUAGUUGGUGAGGUAAUGGCUCACCAAGGCGACGAUCCCUAGCUGGUCUGAGAGGAUGAUCAGCCACACUGGAACUGAGACACGGUCCAGACUCCUACGGGAGGCAGCAGUGGGGAAUAUUGCACAAUGGGCGCAAGCCUGAUGCAGCCAUGCCGCGUGUGUGAAGAAGGCCUUCGGGUUGUAAAGCACUUUCAGUCGUGAGGAAGGUAGUUGCGUUAAUAGCGUAAUUAUUUGACGUUAGCGACAGAAGAAGCACCGGCUAACUCCGUGCCAGCCGCCGCGGUAAUAC